rnacentral:rRNA from 1 species
UACGGAGGGAGCUAGCGUUGUUCGGAAUUACUGGGCGUAAAGCGCACGUAGGCGGCUUUGUAAGUUAGAGGUGAAAGCCCGGGGCUCAACUCCGGAACUGCCUUUAAGACUGCAUCGCUUGAAUCCAGGAGAGGUGAGUGGAAUUCCGAGUGUAGAGGUGAAAUUCGUAGAUAUUCGGAAGAACACCAGUGGCGAAGGCGGCUCACUGGACUGGUAGUGACGCUGAGGUGCGAAAGCGUGGGGAGCAAACAGG